UUACGGUCAAAUCACGCUGAAAACACCGGUUCUCGUUCGAUCACCGAAGUUAAGCAUCGUAGAGCCAGGUCAGUAUUCUUAGAUGAGGGACCGCUUGGGAACACCUGGUACUGUAAGC